CUACGGGGCGCACCAGUGGGGAAUAUUGCACAAUGGGGGGAACCCUGAUGCAGCAACGCCGCGUGGAGGAUGACGCAUUUCGGUGUGUAAACUCCUUUUAUAUGUCAAGAAAAUGACGGUAGCAUAUGAAUAAGCACCGGCUAACUCCGUGCCAGCAGCCGCGGUAAUACGGAGGGUGCAAGCGUUACUCGGAAUCACUGGGCGUAAAGGACGCGUAGGCGGGUUGGAAAGUCAGGUGUGAAAUCCUACAGCUUAGCUGGAGAACUGCACUUGAAACUUCUAAUCUAGAGUAUGGGAGGGGGAGAUGGAAUUAGUGGUGUAGGGGUAAAAUCCGUAGAUAUCACUAGGAAUACCUAAAGCGAAGGCGAUCUCCUGGAACAUUACUGACGCUAAGGCGUGAAAGCGUGGGGAGCAAACAGGAUUAGAUACCCGCGUAGUC
rnacentral:rRNA from 1 species